rnacentral:rRNA from 1 species
GACGAACGCUGGCGGCGUGCUUAACACAUGCAAGUCGAACGGAAAGGCCCUGCUUUUGUGGGGUGCUCGAGUGGCGAACGGGUGAGUAACACGUGAGUAACCUGCCCUUGACUUUGGGAUAACUUCAGGAAACUGGGGCUAAUACCGGAUAGGAGCUCCUGCUGCAUGGUGGGGGUUGGAAAGUUUCGGCGGUUGGGGAUGGACUCGCGGCUUAUCAGCUUGUUGGUGGGGUAGUGGCUUACCAAGGCUUUGACGGGUAGCCGGCCUGAGAGGGUGACCGGCCACAUUGGGACUGAGAUACGGCCCAGACUCCUACGGGGGGCAGCAGUGGGGAAUAUUGCACAAUGGGCGGAAGCCUGAUGCAGCAACGCCGCGUGCGGGAUGACGGCCUUCGGGUUGUAAACCGCUUUCGCCUGUGACGAAGCGUGAGUGACGGUAAUGGGUUAAGAAGCACCGGCUAACUACGUG